rnacentral:sRNA from 1 species
CCCUGCCCCUGGCGACCCCACGUCUCUGGCAUCCUUCCCUCUUCCCUCCCUCUCCUCCGGGCGCCCAGAAAAGUCCCCACCUCUCCCCGCUUAGGCAAACCAGCCUUCGGGAACGGGUGGCAGGCUCGGCCGGGAUGGCCGCUCUGACUCAGGACAUUCGCGCGGCGCUCUCCCGCCAGAAGCUGGACCACGUGUGGACCGACACGCACUACGUGGGGCUGCAAUUCCCGGACCCGUGAGUGCGCGCGCGGGCGGGGAGCGCGCGGGGAGGGGGACGCGGCUCGGGGCGCUCACCAGCCCCGCUCCCCAGGGCUCACCCCAACACCCUGCACUGGGUCGAUGAGGCCGGGAAGGUCGGAGAGCAGCUGCCGCUGGAGGACCCUGACGUCUACUGCCCCUACAGCGCCAUCGGCAACGUCACGGGAGAGCUGGUGUACGCCCACUACGGGCGGCCCAAAGACCUGCAGGACCUGCGGGCCAGGGGCGUGGACCCAGUGGGCCGCCUGCUGCUGGUGCGCGUGGGGGUGAUCAGCUUCGCCCAGAAGGUGACCAAUGCUCAGGACUUCGGGGCUCAAGGAGUGCUCAUAUACCCAGAGCCAGCGGACUUCUCCCAGGACCCACCCAAGCCAAGCCUGUCCAGCCAGCAGGCAGUGUAUGGACAUGUGCACCUGGGAACUGGAGACCCCUACACACCUGGCUUCCCUUCCUUCAAUCAAACCCAGUUCCCUCCAGUUGCAUCAUCAGGCCUUCCCAGCAUCCCAGUCCAGCCCAUCAGUGCAGACAUUGCCUCCCGCCUGCUGAGGAAGCUCAAAGGCCCUGUGGCCCCCCAAGAAUGGCAGGGGAGCCUCCUAGGCUCCCCUUAUCACCUGGGCCCUGGGCCACGACUGCGGCUAGUGGUCAACAAUCACAGGACCUCCACCCCCAUCAACAACAUCUUCGGCUGCAUCGAAGGCCGCACAGAGCCAGAUCACUACGUUGUCAUCGGGGCCCAGAGGGAUGCAUGGGGCCCAGGAGCAGCUAAAUCCGCUGUGGGGACGGCUAUACUCCUGGAGCUGGUGCGGACCUUUUCCUCCAUGGUGAGCAACGGCUUCCGGCCCCGCAGAAGUCUCCUCUUCAUCAGCUGGGACGGUGGUGACUUUGGAAGCGUGGGCUCCACGGAGUGGCUAGAGGGCUACCUCAGCGUGCUGCACCUCAAAGCUGUAGUGUACGUGAGCCUGGACAACGCAGUGCUGGGGGAUGACAAGUUUCAUGCCAAGACCAGCCCCCUUCUGACAAGUCUCAUUGAGAGUGUCCUGAAGCAGGUGGAUUCUCCCAACCACAGUGGGCAGACUCUCUAUGAACAGGUGGUGUUCACCAAUCCCAGCUGGGAUGCUGAGGUGAUCCGGCCCCUACCCAUGGACAGCAGUGCCUAUUCCUUCACGGCCUUUGUGGGAGUCCCUGCCGUCGAGUUCUCCUUUAUGGAGGACGACCAGGCCUACCCGUUCCUGCACACAAAGGAGGACACUUAUGAGAACCUGCAUAAGGUGCUGCAAGGCCGCCUGCCCGCCGUGGCCCAGGCCGUGGCCCAGCUCGCAGGGCAGCUCCUCAUCCGGCUCAGCCACGAUCGCCUGCUGCCCCUCGACUUCGGCCGCUACGGGGACGUCGUCCUCAGGCACAUCGGGAACCUCAACGAGUUCUCUGGGGACCUCAAGGCCCGCGGGCUGACCCUGCAGUGGGUGUACUCGGCGCGGGGGGACUACAUCCGGGCGGCGGAAAAGCUGCGGCAGGAGAUCUACAGCUCGGAGGAGAGAGACGAGCGACUGACACGCAUGUACAACGUGCGCAUAAUGCGGGUGGAGUUCUACUUCCUUUCCCAGUACGUGUCGCCAGCCGACUCCCCGUUCCGCCACAUCUUCAUGGGCCGUGGAGACCACACGCUGGGCGCCCUGCUGGACCACCUGCGGCUGCUGCGCUCCAACAGCUCUGGGACCCCCGGGGCCACCUCCUCCACUGGCUUCCAGGAGAGCCGCUUCCGGCGUCAGCUAGCCCUGCUCACCUGGACGCUGCAAGGGGCAGCCAAUGCGCUUAGCGGGGAUGUCUGGAACAUUGAUAACAACUUCUGAGGCCCUGGGGAUCCUCACAUCCCCGUCCCCCAGUCAAGAGCUCCUCUGCUCCUCGCUUGAAUGAUUCAGGGUCAGGGAGGUGGCUCAGAGUCCACCUCUCAUUGCUGAUCAAUUUCUCAUUACCCCUACACAUCUCUCCACAGAGCCCAGACCCCAGCACAGAUAUCCACACACCCCAGCCCUGCAGUGUAGCUGACCCUAAUGUGACGGUCAUACUGUCGGUUAAUCAGAGAGUAGCAUCCCUUCAAUCACAGCCCCUUCCCCUUUCUGGGGUCCUCCAUACCUAGAGACCACUCUGGGAGGUUUGCUAGGCCCUGGGACCUGGCCAGCUCUGUUAGUGGGAGAGAUCGCUGGCACCAUAGCCUUAUGGCCAACAGGUGGUCUGUGGUGAAAG